rnacentral:tRNA from 2 species
CGGGGCGUGGCGCAGUCUGGUUAGCGCACUAGCAUGGGGGGCUAGGGGUCCCCGGUUCAAAUCCGGGCGCCCCGA